CAGCAAGUGGAGAAACAUCAGUUGUUGAAGCUUAGUAUCUCCGUCCAUCCCUCAUUUGGAAUGAUGGGAAGUGAGUUGUGUCUCUUAAUGUGGGAGCAAAUGACAAUCCCACCAAUAAGGUUGCUUUCGAUGAGAGACGUUGCAGUUGUGGUUGAACAUGGCACUCCCUUUCUGUUCCCAGACUCUGAGGAUUCAGUUCGGAAGAUGAAGUCUUUUGUGUCCAACGGUGACUCCACUACCAUGGCAUGGAUACUCGAUGAAUAUUCAAAAUUUCACAAAUAGUCACCUGCAGUUGUGACUGGAAAACCGAUAGAUUUUGGUGGAUCUCUAGGUAGAGAUGCAGCUACAGGAAGAGGAGUCCUCUUUGCAACAAAGGCUUUACUGAAUGAAAAUGGGAAAAUUAUAGCUGG